CAAAAGUGAAAAAAAAAUAAUAAAAAAAUUAAAUGAGUUAAUGGAAAAUGUAAUAGAAGUAAUGCAACAUUUAAUGUUAAUGCUCUAUAAUAGUAUAAUAAAUGCAAGAUAUGAACACAGUACAUAAGAAGGUAUUACAAUGAGUUUAAUAAAUAAAACCCACAACAUAAACAGGCAAUUUGAUUUCUUUUUACUUGGUAACCUUGAUGUGUACUCUGGAGGUGAAUUAGAUGAUACUAUGUAACUAUAGAGGUUUUGUAAUCCU